GGGACACUCAACCACAGAGCCACAUCCCCAGUUCUAUUUUGUAUUUUAUUUAGAGACAGGGUCUCACUGAGUUGCUUAGUACCUUGGCUUUGCUGAGGCUGGUUUUGAACUCAAGAUCCUCUUGUCUCAGCCUCCCGAUCCUCUGGAAUUAUAGUCGUGUGCCACCGUGCCUGGCCUAAUUUGAAUUUUAAUUCAUGUAUCUUGUGUGUGUGUGUGUAUGUAAAUAUAUAUUUUAGUUGUAGUUGGACACAAUACCUUCAUUUUAUUUUAUUUAUUUUUUUAACCUGGUGCUGAGGAUUGAAUUUGGUGCCUCGCAUGUGCUUGCGAGGGCUCUACCAUGAGCCACAACCCCAGCCCCCAAUUCGUGUAUCUUUGGAUUAUGAGUAGCCACCUCCAGACGUUACAGGAGGAAUUAUGAGAUCUUGAAUUCUGAGUCAUGUUUGAGAUUUUUGGAGGCUGCUGGGAUGAGAAUGCUCACAUAUCAUAUGUAGGAAUGAUGUGAAGAAUGGUCAUGAGGACAAACAGUUGGCAAAAAUGGCCCCAAAUGCUUCAUACCUGGGUUAACCAGUUUUUCACUACAGUAGCAAAAUACUUGAGAUAAACAGGACUGGGAGUGUAGGACACUUUCCUAGCAUGAGUGAGGCCCUUAUUAAAUCUCUAGCUCCACAAAUAAGCCAACAAACAAACAAACUCUGAGAUAAACAACUUAAAAAGAGGAAAUCUUUUAUUUUGGCUUACAGUUUGAGUGGGUUUCAAUUGGUGGUUGGCUGGCCUCGUUGCUUUUGAGUCUGCAGUGAGGCAGUAUUUCAUUAGCUGAAGCCUGUAUGGAGGAAACUCCUCACCUCAUGGUGGCCAGGAAGCAAAGAGACCUGAAGGGACCAGGGUUCCAAUAUCCCCUUCAAGGGUAUAGCCCUGAUGAUCUAUUUCCUUCCACUAGGGCCCGCCUCCUAAGGAUUCCACUACCUUUCAAUAGCAACAUGGGCUAAAGAUCAAGCUUUUAAUCAUGGGCCUUUAGGGGACAUUCCAGAUCCAGACUACAGCCACAUCUAACUUAUCCACAGAAUUUGCUGCAUAACUUGGUCGUACCCUUCCGUUACGACUCUUAAGAUCCGCAGUGCUAUUUGGUUUAGUCAAUGGGGUGUUAGCAAACACGCAAGCUGAGGCUUGAAAACAACUUGUGUUGUUGAGCUUGCUUUCUUGCAGGAGCACCAUUUCUAUGAUAACAUGACAAGGAAAGAUGACAAAUGUGGAGAAGAACCUGGUCAUUCCAGCUGUUCCUUCCAGCCAACAGUCAGCUGAAUUCCAUAUAUAUAAGUUCAGCCAAUAUCAAAAUCGUCAGUCACAUAAACAAUAAAUAUUUUAUCUCUGUAGGCCUCUGAGAGUUUGUUGUUGAAUGUUAGCAUUAUAACAAUAGACAACUGACAAUACCUAAACUCAUACAUAUUAUACAAAAUACAACUAGAUCAAUCUCUUAUUAAUAUCAAAAUUAAUAAUUUUAUCAAAUUAUUGAUUAGUAUAAACUAUGAUUAUAAAUGAUAUAUUUGUCAAAUAUUAUAAAAUUAAUAUCAGUGAAAAAAAUCUCAAAAUAUCAACAAACCAUUAGGGCAUUAAAGAUGAUGUUUCAUGACCAAUGUAAUUUAUUACCAAAUGGUUCUGUAUCAGAAAAAUCAAUGAAUGUAAUUCUUUAUUUCAAUAGGUUUAAGAAGAAAAUCAAUUUGAUUGUAGCUGCCAAAAAGGUCUUUGACAGAACUUAAUGCUCAUUCCUGAUUCUUUUUUUUUUUUUUUUAAGUUGUUGAUGGACCUUUAUUUUAUUUAUUUGUAUGUGGUGCUGAGAAUCGAACCCAGUGCCUCAUGCAUGCCAGGCAAGCGCUCUACCACUGAGCCACAACCCCAGCCCUCCUGAUUCUUAAAAACUAAUAAAAGUCACAUGUAUUUAAGGAGGAAAUACUAGAGUCAUUCCUGCUAGAAUCAGGAACAAGCUACUCUACUAGUACUUAAUAUUUUUUGAAUGUAACAACCAUUGCAUGCAGACAAAACCAAGACAUAAAAAUUGAAAAGGAUGAUAUAAAAUGAAAGAGAAUCAAUGCUAAAACUAAUGCAAACAAUAAGAAAAUUCAGUGAAGUGGCAGGAUAUAUAUAGUCAAUACAAAUUACAUGCUGUGAAGGAUGAGAGCCCAAUUGCAUAGCAACAAAAUGUUAAGAUACUUAGAAAUAGAGCUAACAUUUGAAGAAAAUAUUCAAACAUUUCUUAAAGGUAUAAAAAUAGACUUGAGCAAAAGAAUUACUCAGAAUCAUGAAGAUUUUAUGUGUUCCAAAUAAAAAUACCAAUUUUUGUAGGGCAGGGGAUGUUUGCCUGGAUCUAGACAAUGAGAUUGUAAGUUCAUUUGCAAAAGCACACAAACAGAAAUAGCUAGGAAAAUUCUGAAAAAGAAGUUCAGUGAGGGUAUACCAGCCAUGUUAGAUGAUGAAACAAAGUUUCUAUAAAAAAAAAUGUGCUGGUUUAGAAAUAGCUCAAGAGAACGAAAUAAAUAGUAAGUCCAAAAACACACAUAAUUACAUGUGGACAAGAACUAUAUGAAAAAGAUGCUGAUUUAAAACACUGAAAAUAUGGAAUUUUUGAUACAUAAUGUUAGGGAAAUUGGACAGCCAUAUGGAAAAAUAUAGUAGUAGAAUCAUGCCUCAUGUCAUAUACCAGAAUAAAUUUCAAAUGGAUCAGAGAUCUAAAUAUAAAAUGUGAAGCCAUACAAAUCCUAGAAGAAAACAUGAUAGAAUUCAUUUGUAAUUUGGGACUAGGAAAAGCCUUACAUGUCUCAAAAUCCAUCUUACAUUCCUUACAGUAAUGCAAAAGGGACUCCAUUCUCCACAUCCUUGUCAAUAUUUAUUAUUUAUAAACACACACACACACACACACAUACACACACACAUAUCAUCAUUAUCCUAGUAGGUAUGGAGUAGAAUCUCAUUGUGGUUUUGAUUUGUGUUUCCCUAGUGACUAGUGAUGUUGAGCAUUUUUUCAUGUGCUUAUUGGCUAUUUGUAUAUAUUUUGCUGUUUUGAUGCUGUUGUAAAGAUAUCUCAUUUUUUAAUUUUCAGUCAUCUAUAGGAUUGUCUUGAGAUAUUCUACGGUGUACAAAAUAUUCAUUGUUAAUAUAUAGAAAUUUAUUUUUAUCUGAU
rnacentral:lncRNA from 1 species